GGAUUUUGGGGUUUUGAUUAUUAAUUUUAGGGGAUUUUGGGGUUUUGAAUAUUUUAUUAUGUGGCUUUUAUUAAUGAUUUUAUGGGUUUUGAACAUUGAUUUUGUGGGGUUUUAAUUGCUAAUUAAGAGUUUUGAUUAUGGAUUUUAUGGGCAUUUCAGAGUCGAGAUGCCUCAUAUCCAAAUCCGCCUGAAUAGUUUUAGCUUAUUUGAUCACCAAGGACGGAUCUAUCCCCUAACUACAAGGGAGGGAAAGAAUUUGCUCGUGCAAAGAGCAGUCUGUUUGACAUGCUCACAAAUAUAUCAAUGUCGCCAUGCCUGAUGAAUGAAUGUUCAGUGACAGACUCAUCAACUGUGCAAGUCAAUGGUGACACCUUCACACUAAUUUUAUUAAGUGACAUCACAGGACAUGGAUUUUUUUAGGAAGAAAAAAAGAACUUCAUUCUCUCUGAUUAAGCAAAAGGUUUAAGUUAUUUACAUGACUAAACAGAAAUAGAUUUAUUUUAAUGCAAACUACAAAAUGAUGGAUAUACUCUAAUAUCAUUUGUACAGUUUACAUUACUUGGAGUAGUCAUUAGUCUGGACCAUCUGAUUCGCUCUCUCUGCUUCCCUGCCAUCCUGAACCCACCUGAAAUUUACAUACAGGACAUGUGCCUUGUUGCCGCAACCAUGGAUCGAUGCAAUUAGUAUGAAACUGCAAAUAAGAAAUCCAUUUUAGUUAUCAAAACAUCGUAUUUAAAUAGCAUACUUAGCAAUAUAAACUCCAUUUACCAGGUACGAAGUUAUUCGAAAAAACAUUAAAUGGUUGGUUAAAGUCAGUUAUACAGAGUGCAUUUGAAGAAUUUGAAACACUGGGAAUAAGUACAAGUCAGGAAAGCUAUGGCAACGAAAAAACUUCAAAAGCAAUUGAGAGAGAGAGAAUGGCAUGGUCAUUCUAUUCGAAAACCACAAGAUAUUGCUAAAACUUUUAACCAAAAAAAGAGUACAUAUCAAAUCAAUUGACUGAAUAUAUCUUCCAAAACAUUGUAAUCUUUGCAAUGUAUGGUUCAUUCACAAGUCACAGAAGAAAUUAUUGGAAUAUAAGUAGCCAUAAUUAGGCAAAGACAUUAACAUUUGUGAUGAUACUUCAUGAAAAGCUUUCAAUUAUAAUUCAAAGUUAUGCACAAAUUAAGUCUAAAAAUGCAUACUCAGCAACUUCAUAAAACCAUGUAGCACCCUGUUAAUAGGACUUUAGACAACAAAUGUAUUUUGGUUACAGAGAUGACUUAUUAUUAUGAGCACAGGAAGAACCUGAUGCAAACAUGGCAAGCUCCGAACAAGUUCCCCUCUGUUAACUUGUUCCAAGCAAAUAGAGCAUGUUAAUUCAUCUUCUGAAGCCUUCAUGCUCCCAUCAGCCUUCCUAGAGUCUUGCUUCAUCUGUGCUCACAAAAUUGAAUGUAAAAAAUAGUGAUAUUCGAAGAAAAUAACAUUAAUAGUUCAAAAGCCCUUGAACCCGUCCCAUCAAAAUUACAAAUAUGCGAGCUAUAAUAAUCUUUAGAAUCUAAUUAACAUUAAAUGCAUAAGUGCACAAAGGACUGUUCUUAUCAACCAAAGGAUAAAAUGUGACUGCCUAGACAAAACUGUAUGAAAGCUAGAUCAUUCUACUCCAUUAUUGGAAAAUGCUGCAAUUACUCAAGUGGAGAAGGACUCUAAAAUUGGAGGAGAUCAUUCUAUAAAUUCCAUAUGAUUUUAAAGCAGUUCAUUCAAUUUUUCAUUUUGGAUCCAGAGAUGAAGAUUAAUUGUCAUAAUUUUGGGUGAUUUAAGCGCAUUGUGUGUUCCUUUCUUUUUGUUCUUCCUGCAACCAACUAUUAAUUUUGGGUAAUGAAGUUCAUAUUUCUGGAAAGUAUGGAAAGAUCCUCAUAUAGUUACAAUCAUGACAUUAUAAAUGCCACCUAUACUGAUGGCAGCUGAUGAGAAUAAUCAGGGAAGAACCUUGUCAUAUGCUCUCAUUUCGGCCCCACAAGAAUAUAUUGUCCAAAAGAAAUGAUCUUGCUAUUAUACCAUUCCGUUAUUCACCUGAAAGUAACACCACGGCCACAGGACCUGCCAAAGGAACCUCUGAUAGGGUAAACAGAUAUGAAUGGCCUGGACAGGAACCCAUAGAUUUGGACAAGCUUUACCACCAUCGCAAUGAUAAAAAGACAAGGUUAUCUGCAUGGGUGGGUUAACGAAGUGUCUUGAAGAGGCCAAGGGUGGCAAGUGGUCAUAUUUCAUCACCACAUCCCUAAUAUUAGAACCAAAUGCCAUCCCAGUCUGUAGGAACUUAAAAUUGUACAACGAGAAUGGAUGGGCACAAAAUAUUGCUUGCACUUUACAAGGUUUCUCAUUCUCUGCAUCUUCUUGGUAAGACAUCAGGGCUUCAUGAUUAGAUAGUUAUCUCACAUUUAAAAACAAAAAUCACCAACCACAGAAAGGAUAACUUAAAAGUAGCAACACUAUUGCAAUGCAUUCCCUCAAUGAUGGUACAAUUUAACUUGAGAAUAUAAAAGAAACUAAAAGAAUACCUCUGCUGAAGGUGAAGAAGAAGAUGCCUGCUGCAGUGAUGUGCUAGGACUGUUAUGAAAAAAGAAAUUAAAUCAAAAUCAUUGUGUCAGUUUAAGGUAAGCAUAAAAGAAGAUCUUUCCAUCUUACUUCUCUGAGCCAGGGACCUUAUACUUGUGGACAGGUAAGGCAUUUAUCUCUUCCUCACUCAUUGAAGGAGUUGUUGAAACAUUAUCAGAGUCCAGAGCUCUAAGGGUUUCAUAGUCUAGGUCAUCAAAUUCACGGUCAAGAAGAGCAAGCUGGAGCCUGAGUCCUUGUAGUCGUCCUCUUGUUGCAAAAGAUAUGGAUGGUGGCACAUGCAAACGCAAUUCAGUGUGACCAAGCAAGCCACUAGCAGUAGCAGCAUGAGCUCGGGCCUGAGCUUGAAGUUGUUGACAAGUAGCAUACAUUCUCAGGCUUGUGGCCAUCAAAAACACACCCACAACCAGCCAAAGCUGCAAAAGCAUAUAUGCAUAUGUACAAAAAUAAACACAUACUCUUACUGUUGCAAUAUUUCAUCAGAAACACUGGCAAAUAUUCAAUGAGUGGUACAUACCAGGAAGUUUGGUGAUAUCUGGUGAGAGUUCAAAAUCAUGAACAGCAAAAGAACUGCUGAAUGCACAUGGAAGAUUUGUUUGGGGAGGGGGGGUUUUGUUGGUUUGCUUAAAAUUGCAUAGUAAUAACUAAUAAAUAUGACAAACCUACGAAACAAUGGACAAAGGCAAGAACGUUACCCGUGACAAGAAAAGCCAGUGAAUUGGAAUUAGCUGGCCGGGCAGCAUGAAUACGCACUGUAGGCCGUUCAGGAAUAAAGCCUGGAAACCCACUUUCUAUAUCUCCUCUUGAACCUCUGAACACGAAACUCAUGUUUGCAGAAAAGCUUUCAAGAUCUAAAAUUUCAUUCUUCUUCCAGAUAUAUUUUUUUUUUUUUUUGGGGCUUCAAAAUCUGGCGAAUUCCACAAACAAUACAAAUAACUGGAGAAAUUCAAACAUGCAAAGUCUGAAUAAGAGCGAAACUAAGACCUCCAAAAAUUUAAACCUUAAAAAAAGAAAAAGAGAUUUGGUGGGGGGGUGGUGUUGGUUGGGUUUCAAUUUGGGGAAUGUAUGUAAUUUGAUUUUUGGAUUAUUCACAUGUUCUCGAUUUGGGGUCUUAAGAUAGAAGACACUUUCAGAUAAUCAUUGUUUAUUUGGCUAUCUAUCAAUUCAUUGGGCGAGCAACAAGUCGUUUGUUAGCCCUAUAGUUAUAAUCUAUUCUUUGAACCGCCUAUAGCUGCUUAUAUGAAUCUCGCCUCUACUUUCUACUAGUUUACCAAACCAUUGUGGUUUAUUUUGCAUGAUCAAAAUGGGCAUAAACUAAACAACACAGAGAAGCAGAAAAUAAAUCAGAAAAGCUGCUUAUAUUUCAAUGAUCAGAUAAGAUGAAUAUGCAGAACCAGCUUAAAAAACAGAGCAUAAUCAGAAACUCACCCAAAUGCAGAUCAAAGGACGGACCUACAGAGCAAUCGGAACCCAGAUCAAGGGGCAAACAGAAAUUGGAGAAGCAAGGGACGCAGAGCUAGCCAACAAGCGAGAAAGAAG
rnacentral:misc_RNA from 1 species